rnacentral:lncRNA from 1 species
ACCUUUUCAUAGUGCAUUAUUGCUUUUAUCAAUAUUGAAGAUAAGUGUUGCUACCAUAACCCUGUUCUACUAUGUUAUUCAUAUUGCACAACCUUGAUCAAACUCAAUCCAAUCAAAUAUUCAUUUCUCUUAGCCUUAUGUCUCUCAUCUUCAUCAAACAAACCAAAACAACAGCAACAACAUCAAACUAAUGCAUCUAAGCAUCUAAGUCAUGGGUUAAUGUGCUCUCAUUUGGCUCACAAUAGCCACCUUUUUUUCUCUGGGUUUCUAUUCUUGCCCUCCAGAAAGAGCCAGUACUUGGAUUUGUUUGGAGACUAAUAAUCUCUUUCCCUGACUGUAAUGGCAUGGGAAUAUGAUCAAAAAUGGGUUUGGUGCUAUUAUUUUCACUGGAUGAAAUUUCUUGAAGAGAAUGCAACCGUAAGAUGCAAAGCACUUAUUCUAAGGGAAUAUAUUGUUAAGCACAGUGACUGCUGCUGAGACAACUCCCUAAGUAAAUCAGCUGCAUCUAUUCUAACAUUCUAUGCCGCACAACUGUUAGUUGUCAAAACACUCUUCAUAAUAAUAGUUAUUUGUCAAGAACUUGCAAUGUGAUAGGAAUCAAACUAAGAACUUUAUAUGAAACUAGGGGGAUUAUAUAGAAACCCCCAAACCUUUGGUACUCCAAAUGUGUUCCCCAGACCAGCAUCGGCCUCACCAGGGAGCUUGUUAGGAGUUCCACCCCAGACUUAUUGGAUUGGAUCACGUACUGAACAACAUAUCAAGCACUAAGUUUGAGAAGUGCUGCCCUAAAUCACAUUAUCUCCAUAUUAGGCUGGUAGGUGUGAGAGGUGGAGUUCCCACCUUGGGGGUGACUCUGUGCCUGUGCUCCACUCUUGACCACGCGAUGUUAUUUUAACCUCACCAAUUCACAUGUCCUACAGACUCCCAACAUCAUUUACCUCCCAAGCUGACUGAAAGCUCCACGGGGCCAUGGGUUCUGAGUCUCCUAAUGGUGCCCUGCACUGGAGGGUGGACAAAAUGACUGAUUUCCAUGAGAUAAAUUCUUGUAUUCAGAAAAUGAAGAGAAGAUAGUUAUUAGAAAAAGCACACUGACGAUGUUCUGUCUCUCCCAAAUAACAAGGUUUGUGAAGUCUUGUUCUGUAAGACAGAGGAAGAAGAGACUGAGGAUUUUGUGCAUUGGAGACUCUGUGGAUGGUGCUGAUAAAUUAUUCUUCUCCCUCUGCAAAUAAUUAAAGCUUAUGUUUUAAGGCAAACUAAGGACCAGAGCAAAAAGUACUUUCAGCAGAUAACAUGCUGUAAGUUUCUGUUUACAUUUCUAUCACUAAGAAUGGACACUUCUUAAAUCUGCCGUGUUCAUAGUUGUAAAUUUUC